AGCUCAGUUGGUAGAGCAGAGACUGAAA
rnacentral:tRNA from 1 species